rnacentral:misc_RNA from 1 species
GAAUAGUAGGGGAAAAAGAAAGGAUAAUAAGCGGAUAAGCGUAGUCGAAGAAGCGGUUGAAAGCUUGGACCUCGGAGCUGAGUAGCUCGAGAGAGGAGAGGAGGCGAGGCGAUAAUGGAGAAGUACUUUGGAAAUGCAUACAGAGGAGACCCAGGUGUACCGCACGCGGAUCCAGACCGCUUCGUCAACAUAUGGAUUGGGUCGGCCGCUUUCUUUGUCCAUCUCAUUCCACUUAAAU